rnacentral:rRNA from 1 species
UUAAGCGACUAAGCGUACACGGUGGAUGCCCUGGCAGUCAGAGGCGAUGAAGGACGUGCUAAUCUGCGAAAAGCGCCGGCGAGGUGAUAUGAACCUUUGACCCGGCGAUGUCCGAAUGGGGAAACCCAGUGUGAUUCGUCACACUAUCGUUAACUGAAUACAUAGGUUAACGAGGCGAACCGGGGGAACUGAAACAUCUAAGUACCCCGAGGAAAAGAAAUCAACCGAGAUUCCCCCAGUAGCGGCGAGCGAACGGGGAGCAGCCCGGAGUCUGAAUCAGCUUGUGUGUUAGUGGAACGGUCUGGAAAGUCCGACGGUACAGGGUGAUAGUCCCGUACACGAAAAUGCACAGGUUGUGAACUCGAAGAGUAGGGCGGGACACGUGGUAUCCUGUCUGAAUAUGGGGGGACCAUCCUCCAAGGCUAAAUACUCCUGACUGACCGAUAGUGAACCAGUACCGUGAGGGAAAGGCGAAAAGAACCCCGGCGAGGGGAGUGAAAAAGAACCUGAAACCGUGUACGUACAAGCAGUGGGAGCCUCUUUUAUGGGGUGACUGCGUACCUUUUGUAUAAUGGGUCAGCGACUUAUAUUCUGUAGCAAGGUUAACCGAAUAGGGGAGCCGAAGGGAAACCGAGUCUUAACUGGGCGUUAAGUUGCAGGGUAUAGACCCGAAACCCGGUGAUCUAGCCAUGGGCAGGUUGAAGGUUGGGUAACACUAACUGGAGGACCGAACCGACUAAUGUUGAAAAAUUAGCGGAUGACCUGUGGCUGGGGGUGAAAGGCCAAUCAAACCGGGAGAUAGCUGGUUCUCCCCGAAAGCUAUUUAGGUAGCGCCUCGUGAACUCAUCUUCGGGGGUAGAGCACUGUUUCGGCUAGGGGGCCAUCCCGGCUUACCAACCCGAUGCAAACUACGAAUACCGAAGAAUGUUAUCACGGGAGACACACGGCGGGUGCUAACGUCCGUCGUGAAGAGGGAAACAACCCAGACCGCCAGCUAAGGUCCCAAAGUCAUGGUUAAGUGGGAAACGAUGUGGGAAGGCACAGACAGCCAGGAUGUUGGCUUAGAAGCAGCCAUCAUUUAAAGAAAGCGUAAUAGCUCACUGGUCGAGUCGGCCUGCGCGGAAGAUGUAACGGGGCUAAACCAUGCACCGAAGCUGCGGCAGCGACGCUUAUGCGUUGUUGGGUAGGGGAGCGUUCUGUAAGCCGUUGAAGGUGGCCUGUGAGGGUUGCUGGAGGUAUCAGAAGUGCGAAUGCUGACAUAAGUAACGAUAAAGCGGGUGAAAAGCCCGCUCGCCGGAAGACCAAGGGUUCCUGUCCAACGUUAAUCGGGGCAGGGUGAGUCGACCCCUAAGGCGAGGCCGAAAGGCGUAGUCGAUGGGAAACAGGUUAAUAUUCCUGUACUUGGUGUUACUGCGAAGGGGGGACGGAGAAGGCUAUGUUAGCCGGGCGACGGUUGUCCCGGUUUAAGCAUGUAGGCGGAGGUUCCAGGUAAAUCCGGUACCUUAUUAACGCUGAGGUGUGAUGACGAGGCACUACGGUGCUGAAGUAACAAAUGCCCUGCUUCCAGGAAAAGCCUCUAAGCAUCAGGUAACACGAAAUCGUACCCCAAACCGACACAGGUGGUCAGGUAGAGAAUACCAAGGCGCUUGAGAGAACUCGGGUGAAGGAACUAGGCAAAAUGGUGCCGUAACUUCGGGAGAAGGCACGCUGAUAUGUAGGUGAAGCCCCUGCGGGUGGAGCUGAAAUCAGUCGAAGAUACCAGCUGGCUGCAACUGUUUAUUAAAAACACAGCACUGUGCAAACACGAAAGUGGACGUAUACGGUGUGACGCCUGCCCGGUGCCGGAAGGUUAAUUGAUGGGGUUAGCGGCAACGCGAAGCUCUUGAUCGAAGCCCCGGUAAACGGCGGCCGUAACUAUAACGGUCCUAAGGUAGCGAAAUUCCUUGUCGGGUAAGUUCCGACCUGCACGAAUGGCGUAAUGAUGGCCAGGCUGUCUCCACCCGAGACUCAGUGAAAUUGAACUCGCUGUGAAGAUGCAGUGUACCCGCGGCAAGACGGAAAGACCCCGUGAACCUUUACUAUAGCUUGACACUGAACACUGGUCCUUGAUGUGUAGGAUAGGUGGGAGGCUUUGAAGCGUGGACGCCAGUCUGCGUGGAGCCGACCUUGAAAUACCACCCUUUAAUGGCUGGUGUUCUAACGUAGACCCGUAAUCCGGGUUGCGGACAGUGUCUGGUGGGUAGUUUGACUGGGGCGGUCUCCUCCCAAAGAGUAACGGAGGAGCACGAAGGUUAGCUAAUCCUGGUCGGACAUCAGGAGGUUAGUGCAAUGGCAUAAGCUAGCUUGACUGCGAGAGUGACGGCUCGAGCAGGUGCGAAAGCAGGUCAUAGUGAUCCGGUGGUUCUGAAUGGAAGGGCCAUCGCUCAACGGAUAAAAGGUACUCCGGGGAUAACAGGCUGAUACCGCCCAAGAGUUCAUAUCGACGGCGGUGUUUGGCACCUCGAUGUCGGCUCAUCACAUCCUGGGGCUGAAGUAGGUCCCAAGGGUAUGGCUGUUCGCCAUUUAAAGUGGUACGCGAGCUGGGUUUAGAACGUCGUGAGACAGUUCGGUCCCUAUCUGCCGUGGGCGCUGGAGAAUUGAGGGGGGCUGCUCCUAGUACGAGAGGACCGGAGUGGACGCAUCACUGGUGUUCGGGUUGUCAUGCCAAUGGCACUGCCCGGUAGCUAAAUGCGGAAGAGAUAAGUGCUGAAAGCAUCUAAGCACGAAACUUGCCCCGAGAUGAGUUCUCCCUGAGACUAUAAGUCUCCUGAAGGAACGUUGAAGACGACGACGUUGAUAGGUCGGGUGUGUAAGCGCAGCGAUGCGUUGAGCUAACCGAUACUAAUGAACCGUGAGGCUUAACCU